UACGUAGGAUGCAAGCGUUGUCCGGAUUUACUGGGCGUAAAGCGUGCGCAGGCGGUGAUGUAAGACAGGUGUGAAAUCCCCGGGCUUAACCUGGGAACUGCAUUUGUGACUGCAUCGCUGGAGUGCGGCAGAGGGGGAUGGAAUUCCGCGUGUAGCAGUGAAAUGCGUAGAUAUGCGGAGGAACACCGAUGGCGAAGGCAAUCCCCUGGGCCUGCACUGACGCUCAUGCACGAAAGCGUGGGGAGCAAACAGG
rnacentral:rRNA from 1 species